GACGAACGCUUGCGACGUGCCUAAGAAAUGCAAGUCGAGCGAGGUAGCAAUACCUAGCGGCGAACGGUCGCGUAACACGUAAGCAACCUGCCCCAGAGACCGGGACAACGUUCCGAAAGGAGCGCUAAUACCGGAUGUGUCCAUGAGCUGACAUCGGCUUAUGAGUAAAUCGAGCAAUCGGCUCUGGGAGGGGCUUGCGGCCUAUCAGCUAGAUGGUGGGGUAACGGCCUACCAUGGCGACGACGGGUAGCUGGUCUGAGAGGAUGGUCAGCCGGAU
rnacentral:rRNA from 1 species